rnacentral:rRNA from 1 species
UACGGGGGGAGCAAGCGUUGUUCGGAUUUACUGGGCGUAAAGGGCGCGUAGGCGGUCGUGACAAGUCACUUGUGAAAUCUCCGGGCUUAACUCGGAACGGUCAAGUGAUACUGUCGGACUAGAGUACAGAAGGGGCAACUGGAAUUCUCGGUGUAGCGGUGAAAUGCGUAGAUAUCGAGAGGAACACCUGCGGCGAAGGCGGGUUGCUGGGCUGAUACUGACGCUGAGGCGCGAAAGCUAGGGGAGCGAAAGGG